UACGAAGGGGGCUAGCGUUGCUCGGAAUCACUGGGCGUAAAGGGCGCGUAGGCGGCCUGCUAAGUCGAACGUGAAAUCCCCGGGCUCAACCCGGGAACUGCGUCCGAUACUGGUUGGCUUGAAUCCGGGAGAGGGAUGUGGAAUUCCAGGUGUAGCGGUGAAAUGCGUAGAUAUCGAGAGGAACACCUGCGGCGAAGGCGGGUAGCUGGGCCGACACUGACGCUGAGGCGCGAAAGCCAGGGGAGCGAACGGG
rnacentral:rRNA from 1 species